AAUAAGUGUAGUUUUACACUGUUCAUGUCCAACGUUUGACCGUUCGUCUUAUUAAAAAAAAUUAUGAUUAGUAUUUAUAUUGUUAUUAGAUUAUAAAUAUGAAUAGUACUUUAUGUGUGACUAUUUUUUAAAAAAAGUAAUAAAUUUUACAUAUGAGACGGACGGUACACGGAUAUACGACUGUACUUAUU
rfam:Oryza nivara chromosome 1, whole genome shotgun sequence.